AGUGAACGCUGGCGGUAGGCCUAACACAUGCAAGUCGAACGGCAGCACAGUAAGAGCUUGCUCUUACGGGUGGCGAGUGGCGGACGGGUGAGGAAUACAUCGGAAUCUACUUUUUCGUGGGGGAUAACGUAGGGAAACUUACGCUAAUACCGCAUACGACCUACGGGUGAAAGCAGGGGAUCUUCGGACCUUGCGCGAUUGAAUGAGCCGAUGUCGGAUUAGCUAGUUGGCGGGGUAAAGGCCCACCAAGGCGACGAUCCGUAGCUGGUCUGAGAGGAUGAUCAGCCACACUGGAACUGAGAAACGGUACAGACUCCUACGGGAGGCAGCAGUGGGGAAUAUUGGACAAUGGGCGCAAGCCUGAUCCAGCCAUACCGCGUGGGUGAAGAAGGCCUUCGGGUUGUAAAGCCCUUUUGUUGGGAAAGAAAAGCAGCAGGUUAAUACCCCGCUGUUCUGACGGUACCCAAAGAAUAAGCACCGGCUAACUUCGUG
rnacentral:rRNA from 1 species